CGUACGCGAAAUAGUUGAGAACUGCAUGACGUGGACCUGACGGCAAGGACAACUGCGAGGAGGCCCCUUUCGGUACCCCUGACGGGAAGGAGAACUGCAGAAGUCGACGAAGUCGAACGAGGAGGCCCCUUUUCCGUACCCCAUACUGCAAAGUGCCAUUGAUGGAUACCUUUUGCACCUGGAACAACCCCUUAAACGCUGUCGCGGCGACUAUCCCGUACGCGAAAUAGUUGAGAACUGCUGACGUGGACCUUUUGCACCUGGAACGGCCCCGUAAACGCUGUCGUGUCGGCGGAGUGAAUGUGCAGGGUACUAGGGUGAAAAGAAUUGCUGCAAAGACGUCCCCUCUACUAGGCUCUAGGCCUUUGCCUUUGGAGACAUCGUCGGCGAACUGAAUGCGCAGGGCGAAAAGAAUUCCUGCAAAGACGUCCGCUCUAGGCCUUUGGAGACAUCGUGGGAACUCCUUCCGGUACUAUACAAACUGCUGACGUGGCCGUGGACCUGUACAUGGAGAGUCAUGGUGGGACUUCAUGUACAUGGAUACAUGGUGGGAAUUCCUUCCGGCACCCCCGUACCGCAAAGCCAACGGUGGGGAAGGAGAAGUGCAGACGUGCAGGAAGACGAACGAGGAGGAACCAGGACGAGCGAGCAAUGGCAGGACUAGCUGGACCGUAAGUAAUAGCUGAAUUGUGCAUGACAACUUGACAUCCAUGCGGCACUCGCCACUUGCCACUGCAUAUUUCUUGUCCACUAACAAUGUCUCUCCUCUGCCCCCUGUGUGUCCACGGCCCUGUUUCUGAAUUGGCCCGAUGAAUCGAAUGUCUUCCGCAACUGGAACGGCCCCGUGAACGCUGUCGCGUCGGCGACUGAAUGCGCAGGAGGGAAAAUAUUGCUGCGAAGACGUCUCCUCUAGACGACGGUAUAUCAUCCCGUGACGACCACAUUGAAGUCUGAAUUUGAAGUGUGAAGAUGCUUCAGCAACCACAUCGUACUUUUCCAUUGCUUUCAUUGUGCUUCUACUGUGCAUGUGUGUAACUUGUGGGGUAAACAUGUGAUGACAUUGUAUGCUGGCGACACGGUCAGAUGUUCAUGCAUCUAACGUACACCUGCAUGUUAUGCAUUGAAAAGGGUUUGCCACUUGCGAUCCUGGGACGAGUAUCAGGUCCGCUUUGUCCUGUGUGGGCUGUAUCAGAUUGCUGUUCACUUCUCUAUCUGUUGGAUAUGUGACUUUCUGCAAGUUUCUGGUGUAUGGUGGCCACGUCCUUGCUUGUCACUUUGUAUGAUAUUACAUUCUGUAUUCGCUGCUUCCAUGGCAUGGUCUGCAAACAAUCCUUGGGCAAAUAUCAUGUUUGCUAUGUUGUGCUUUGGCCGUCAGCUUGUCUACACGCUGUAGUUGAAUUAUUUUUGUUUCACAACUGACUUCCUCAAGUACGGUGGCCACUGCUUUGCAUGGCAUUAUA